rnacentral:rRNA from 1 species
GACGAACGCUGGCGGCGUGCCUAAUACAUGCAAGUCGAGCGAAUGGAUUAAGAGCUUGCUCUUAUGAAGUUAGCGGCGGACGGGUGAGUAACACGUGGGUAACCUGCCCAUAAGACUGGGAUAACUCCGGGAAACCGGGACUAAUACCGGAUAACAUUUUGAACCGCAUGGUUCGAAAUUGAAAGGCGGCUUCGGCUGUCACUUAUGGAUGGACCCGCGUCGCAUUAGCCAGUUGGUGAGGUAACGGCUCACCGAGGCAACGAUGCGUAGCCGACCUGAGAGGGUGAUCGGCCACACUGGGACUGAGACACGGCCCAGACUCCUACGGGAGGCAGCAGUAGGGAAUCUUCCGCAAUGGACGAAAGUCUGACGGAGCAACGCCGCGUGAGUGAUGAAGGCUUUCGGGUCGUAAAACUCUGUUGUUAGGGAAGAACAAGUGCUAGUUGAAUAAGCUGGCACCUUGACGGUACCUAACCAGAAAGCCACGGCUAACUACGUGCCAGCAGCCGCCGUAA